rnacentral:lncRNA from 13 species
UUCAUGCGUGAUAAGCCUAACUCUAGCUUGACUCGCGUCGUGUCGCGCCGGUAAAUCGGAGUGAAGUUGCCGACGUGAACUCGACGAUGACGUCAGCCGCCGGCGACGAAAGACGCCACGGAGACGCAGCGCGGCGAAGCGCUCUCGAAUCGCGUUUAAUCGGACUGCGCAAUUGGUCCUGUACUCGUUGCGGUUCGGUAAUGAGCACGCGCGUGUGACAUCGUGUGCACGAGUGCCAUGGAGAAGCAGCUGCGAAGGACUCCGAGGGAAGGAGCAGCAGAGGCUUGGGCAGCGCGACCGGAGAGAGGGGGCAAACGCGCGAGGAGCAGCAGAGGCUUCAGUUCGGCGUCAAUCGGUGCCGGGCGGUGCGGCCGGGGAGAAGAGAUUUACGCUCGUUAGCGGCGCGAUAUUCGCCGACAGUUUUUUGCGAGUUCGGGACAUGUGUGAACAGUUGCUGCCUUUCCUUGUGCGACAUUUACUACGUGCCUAGGUGCACUUUGUAGCUCGUUAGUCCGCGAUGCGUCCUUUCAACUCUUCACCAUUUUUGCUACAUGAGCCCUCGACGUUCUAACGCGUACAAUGACAC